rnacentral:rRNA from 1 species
AGAACGAACGCUGGCGGCAUGCCUAACACAUGCAAGUCGAACGCUCCUGGGGCUUCGGUCUCAGGGGAGUGGCGCACGGGUGAGUAGCGCGUGGGAACCUGCCCUGUUGUGGGGGAUAACCGAGGGAAACUUCGGCUAAUACCGCAUACGCCCGGGGAAACCUGGGGAAAGAUUUAUCGCAGCAGGAGGGGCUCGCGUCGGAUUAGGUAGUUGGUAGGGUAACGGCCUACCAAGCCUGUGAUCCGUAGCUGGUCUGAGAGGAUGAUCAGCCACACUGGGACUGAGACACGGCCCAGACUCCUACGGGAGGCAGCAGUGGGGAAUAUUGGACAAUGGGCGCAAGCCUGAUCCAGCAAUGCCGCGUGAGUGAUGAAGGCCUUAGGGUUGUAAAGCUCUUUCGCCCGCGACGAUGAUGACGGUAGCGGGAGAAGAAGCCCCGGCUAACUUCGUGCCAGCAGCCGC